rnacentral:rRNA from 1 species
UACGUAGGGUGCAAGCGUUGUCCGGAAUUAUUGGGCGUAAAGAGCUCGUAGGCGGCUUGUCACGUCGACUGUGAAAACCCGAGGCUCAACCUCGGGCCUGCAGUCGAUACGGGCAGGCUAGAGUUCGGUAGGGGAGACUGGAAUUCCUGGUGUAGCGGUGAAAUGCGCAGAUAUCAGGAGGAACACCGGUGGCGAAGGCGGGUCUCUGGGCCGAAACUGACGCUGAGGCGCGAAAGCCAGGGGAGCAAACGGG